GUGUGUGUGAGGGACAGGAAGAAUUGCUUCCGUUGUUGUUUUUGUUUUCGUCUUUCCAUUUAUACAUUCAUUCAUUUACUCAUUCACUUGGGUUCACUCAUUCAUUGUUUUUUUCGCUUCUUCCUUCCUUCUUUUUUAAUACCCUUGCCGAGGGUUUUAUCACAUUAGUCAGAAGAAAAGAAUUAUACAUUAUCUCAACAGUAUUGUAUUUUUUUAAAUUUAUAUCUCAAACUUAUGACUCUUACUCGGGCAACACAAAAUACUUUCAAUAGCUAAGUGAAUGUUUUAUUACUAAUAAGUAAACCAUAACUCAUUACUUUAAAAAUAACUCUAUAUUUAUAUGAAGUUCUGUAUAUUCAACUUUCCUAGUUUAAAGAAGGGUAUUAAAACUUCGGCUGUCUUCUUGCGCUUCAGCACAAGACGGGUCACAUUGCCUUUGUUGUUUUUGGCAACUGCGUCGCAUUAAUGAAAACAUUGGCAUUGUCUGCUUCUUGCCCCACUUCCUUCCUGCCAAGAGGCGUAAUGCCCAGCUAGUACUACAAAACACGCUAAGCAUGGGAAAGAGAACCACGACCACGACCACGGCGAAAUCAAAUUCAUUCAUGAAAUUCAGCGAAGAGCGUCCGAAAAAAAAAACAAAACAAAAAACACAAAAAUAUAGGGGCGGAACAGAGGGUUAAGCACCCAACAAUGGACUUUUCUGGGUCCGGUCUUUUCUUCGGGGUCGCAUCUUACCCCUUCGAACCCUGCUCCAUCGAGCUAUUCAUGAAUGGACCCCCGAAGACGUCACGCUAUCCGAUUUAGCCAGUUUCGGUGCCGUCAAUAUUUCCCAAGAUAUAUUGUACAUAUGCGUGGUAUUUUUGCUUUUCGCUCAUUAAUUGCGUCGUUUUUCCGUCAUUCUGAAGUGCAAACUAAUUGGCAAGACAGCAAAGUAGUUCUUAUUAAAUAAUUAACUUGUAACAAAAUAUUCACUUGAACUAAUUCAUAACUUGAGUGGAAAAUGCUGAUCCAAUCGAUUAUAAUAGCAACUUAAUUUAGUUUUCAGUUGAGUAAAUAAGUGUAUUACCUUCUAGGAAUAUGUAGUGUCUUGUAGAAACGAUAGAUAGUAUGAUCAACUAUAAAUUUCCUAAUCAUACAUUGAUCUGCAAUGCGGCUAAUUAUUUCCACACCUCCUGCAAUGUAAAAUGGCUGUCCACCCAGACGAGCUGCAUGAUGGCCAACCAAAGUGGCUAAUUAUCUUAUCUGCCGCUACUGCAGCUUCUGCCGCGAGUGGGCGAAACCGCAAUCAUUGGCAGUGGAUAGUUUGGAAUAAUUUUGCAUUUUGCAUUUAGCAUGGAAACGUGCAAAUGGCGGCCCCAAACGGACGACAAGUCGCCGAGCAUGACGAGAGCUGUAUUUGCGAAACUUUCUGUUGUUUACUUUUAAUUAAAAUGCAUGUGGGAAUCAAAUUACGUCGGUCAUACACAUUUGCGGCCGACUGCGAGUUAUAUCUGCCCACCUGGCCCACCUACCAAAUCCGAAUCCAAAUCAAAAACCAAAACCAAAAGCAAAACCAAAUCCAAAGCCAGCAACAAGUGGCACACAAUUAUGGCAAAGGCGACCGCAGCACAAUGAAUGCAUACGAAUAGUUGAUGGCUACAUAAUUACAUUUUUGCCCAAAUGCUGCAACAGCAUCUGGCGGAGAUGGAGGAUGAUAUAGCCAUAUAUAUUUAUAUAAAAUAUGGAUGUAGAGAGAAAGGGAUUGGGGUAGGUCGGCAGGUUGAUGAAGGUGCAGUUGUUUAAAGACAAAUCAUAUAUUCAUAGAAGUUUAGAAUUCGCGGUACAUAAAUAGUUUAAGCUCGAGCUUUAGAAUCCUGAAGAAUUCGCGUUUCCUUAGUAACAUAUGUAUGUCCAUCAGAUGAAGCUGAACAAUUCAGCUUAUUUGGCAACACCAGUAGCUGCUCAGUAAUAAAAGUAGACAGCCAGCAUCUAGCAAUUUCGCGAGUGCGCAAUAUUUUUCAUUCAUGAAAAAGGCAACAAGACAACAAAAACGAAAACAGUUGCGGGAAACAAUGUUGUGCAAAGAAAAUACAGGUAAGUGUGAGCGAGUGUGUGGAUUGCCAAACUGAAUGAAUGAACAUGAACCCAGGCAGCCACGUUGCGGGUGUACGAAUGCGAAUGUGAAUGCGAAUGCAGCCAGCCUGUUGUAUAAGCCAACUAACCAACCAGCCAACUGAGCGAGGUGCACACAGCUUUUUAUGAAUGGCAGCCGGCAGCACCGCUAUAUUUGGCCGUUGAUGGCUACGAGGUGCAAAUGUUAAUGAAGCCAACGCUGCAACAUCAACGGCAAACAGUCAGCGAUGGGUAAUAAAUGGAAGGAGUACCCUACUAGAAAGAUGGGUACUUUUUAAAUUCAUAAAAAAUGCACACAAGUCGGGAAAGUGCUUAAGAAUUCGCGUUGGUAGUGCUUAGAACUUCUAUGUCAGUCUAAAGGUGUGAUUAAAGGAAUUGCCGUGAAUAUCUAACGAGAAUGUACCUUUGAUAACCUGAUUGUAUGUUGGCCCGCAUCUCGUACCGUACCCAGGUACUACCAGCACUGCAAGCGUCAGAAGAAAUUGCAGGCCAAAUGCAUAACGGUGUUUGCAAUGGCCCAAAGAGUGAGACAGGGCGAUUGGGUGAGUGGUAGCAGCCGCUCAUUCAUGCUGUCUUUGGCUUGGAUUUUCCGGCAGGCGAUCAUAAAAAUGUGCAGCCAACGGACCAUAAAUCUGGCGAAAACAUUUUCCAUGACGUAACCGAGGAAUGUCUGUUGACUGGAGGCGGAAAAGUGCAUUUUAACAUGGAUUUUUAACGAUUCUGUUAUUUGGCCCAGAGAAUAUAGACGCAGUUUUACCAACCAGGCUUAGAAACCGCCCAAUACAUUUUUGAUUUUAUUACUUUUAGAGUUAAAUAGCUAACGAUUUAUAGUGUAUUGGAGUAGUUAAAUGUAAUUAUUUAUUUUAUUAGGGCGAAUAAAUGGUUAGUUGCACACUCUCUGUAAAAAACAGAUGGCCAUCAAGCUGGGCAACAAGUGCAGUCAAUUUUCAUGAAUGAAUCGAAUACUCGGCAUUGAUCAGUUGCUCUUGUAGUGUUUGUUGUACAUAUUGAGUUUGUUGUUAUUGCCGCCGAUACGCCCUGCCGCGCGUAGGGGAAAAAAGGGGGGCGGGGCAGGGUGUUUUUAUUUAUCGAAAUGUGUAGCAAAUGUUUAUUUGAUCAAUGAAAUGAAUUAUUGUACAAGCAUCUGCCUCCGUGUUUGCCUACACAUAUAUUUUGUAUCUCUGUAGAAACAAGCAGAUAUAUCUGCUGAAUGAAUGGAACAACACAAUUAAAGCGACUAUUCCACAAAUGCCGCUCAAUAUGUGGGACGCAAUUAGGAAAACAAAAGUUGAAUAAAAGCAUUCGUAAUUGAUUUGUUUUCCAUACAAUUUGCUUUUAUUUUUGCGAUUCUUUAUUAAUUCUCAAUUAAUUGAAAGCUGAACUCAAUUAAUGGAUUCCAAAAAUAAAAUAAUAUUAUAAAGAAAACCAAAGCAAGUGCAACAAUUAACUCAAACUUUUCAGCUCAAAAUAUUCAAGAAUAAAUUGUAGUUUCUGGACUAAACUUAUAAAAAAUCCCCGAUUGCUUGUUCUGUUCUCAUUCAUAGUGGGUGAAUAUAUUUUUACGUCUUUCAGGUGACGGAAGAGGUCCAAAAACCGUGCAAUUUGGAUCGCAUGAAUACCAAUUAGUGGAACGGUGCAAGCGCAAGAUUGAUUGGCAAUCGCCAAUCAACGCAACCUGCGACGUGUCAGAAAUUAAUGGGCUAAGCGAAACAAAACUCAUAAGCGGGUUUUCUUUAUUAUUUUUGUUUUUAUCAUACACAUAUAUGUAUAUAUUGUAUAUAGAGAGUUUUGAACGGCAGCGACCACCACUCAAAUGACAAUUUCCGGCCGUCAGUUUGGCAGUGCCAAUAAAUUGGCAACCCUGCUCGUAUUUCAACGGCCACGCAGGAAAAAAAAAAGCAAAAGCACCAAAUACUGAAUACCGAAUAGCGAUUUCGAUUCGAAAAGGCCGCCAUCAUAUGUGGGUGCCUAGAAAAAUGACUCUGGCAGCGAUAACCAUAAAGUUUUAUGGCAUUUUACAUAGCAUUAGUCGGUCCAAAAAAAAGGUAGAGCCCCCAGCUUGAGAGUGUCUGUGAAUGUUGUUAGCCAGUUACUAAAUUUGGCUUAAAUGAAGGCGAAACUUGUUACGUAGCCGGCCGGUGGUCGGCCCACAUGGUCAGCAUCUCUGGCUAAAAUCAUGAAUGAAUCUAUAGCCCCCAGCUGAAGUCUGUCACUCUGUCAGUUCGUCACUCAAUCAGUCAGUCAGUCAGCCAGUCAGUCAAUCGGCUGACCAUAAUUGAUUUUCGAAACGAGCGCAGUAAACAUGACGGCGACAAAUUUUUCGUCUAAAAUGUGACAAAAUCGGAAAACCGAAAAAAAAAAAAUAAAAACAAAAAUAAAGAGCAAAAACCGACAACACCUUACCAUAUCGAAAAAGCGACAAAAAGUCGUGGCCAUAUGGACAACAUGUGCAUGCGACUGCAGAAAUUGUUAAUUCAUUCAUUAAGAAAUGAGCGUCCGAAAAAACCAUAGAAACCAAAUCUAAUGGGCGCGACUCAGAAAAACUACUUGGAAAUCAUUUCAGUGGGCCGCAAGACAAAAGGAAGCUCACAUGGUUGAGCUUGAAUAGGAGCGGAGUUUUGCCAACAAGGGGUUAACUAGAAAAAUCAAGUCAGUGGAUUUAAGACCACUUUAAAAAACUUGCGAGGGAGGAUAAGUAAGCAUCGAGAUUGCCAACUAAUGGCUCGAGCCUUCGAGCUCUAAAAGCCACCUUACAUCAGCGAGCUGCCACAGACACAGCGAGAAUAUCUGAGCGAUGACCCCUUUGCGGCCUGAAACGUCCCUGGCCCGGUCUCAUCAUUCAGUCAGUCGCUCAUUCAUUCAGUUCAGCAGUUCACAACCACGCGCCCUGUGGCUGCAUUUGGUGGCUAAUUUGCAUAGUUUUUCAGCUCGCUGUGCUUUAUAUUGCGUUGGCGUUUCGGCCCGGAUCGCAUUGGAUCACUCGUAUGUGUGUAUAUGGUAGGAGAACCUUAAGGCCUGGGAAAGUGUUGCGGCCUGCCGAUGAUAAUAAUAAUGAUAAUGAUAAUGAUGGUUGCAUGGAGAUGAUGAUGAGACUGUGGGAAACCUUAGCAAAUGUGGGCUGCUGUCGCUAAUGAGCUUGUAGUGUCAGCAGAAACGGAAAAAAUAUAAAACAAAAAACAUUCUGUGUGUGCGUGUGUGUGUGGUGGGGCGAGAAAAGAGUUUGCUCGAAAAUAGAAAAUUGCUGAAACAACAGAACGCUCAAAUAUCGGGGUCUUGGAUCAAAUGGCCCAUAUGUCUGUUUAUUGUUUUGUUCACUUUAUCCGCGCUUCCGCUGCAACAUUUCCGCAGCUGAGGCAAGCAAAAAACAUAACAAAAAAAACCAAAAUAACAAAAAAAAAUGGGAAAUCGCAUAAGGCAAGUAAUUCUGAUUAUCUAAUUUCCAUUAACCAACCAAGCAGCCAAGCAAUCUCGAUCGCUUCAUUCAUUUACGGCGUGUGAAAUUGAUUGGGGCCGCCUUUUGCUAGGGAAUAAAUAUUUGCUAAAUUGAAAUUUGAGUUGUCAUAUCCGCUGCGACCAUAUAUACACACCAGAUACCAGAGAUAUACAUGCGUUUGCCUAUCUAUAUAGAGUAUAUAGAGCGGCCAGUAUUUUUAGUUGGGUGUUCAAUCUUCUCGAGACUGGGGGGCAGACAGCGAAAUGAAAUGGUUACAGUGCGUGUUCAGUUGGCUGGGCGCCCGCCAUUCGCCUUCUUCUGGCAUGAAUCAUCCUCAACAUCGCCAUCGCCAUCAUCAUCAUCAUCAUGAUGAUCAUUAUAUUGGUGGCUAGAACGGCCGGGUUUUGCAUUUUACAAAAAUACGCAUUUUUAUGUUUACGGCGUAGUCUGGCAGACAGGAGGAGAAAAUCUUGUGUCCCCCGCCUCCUCACGCACUCAUAAUUCCCGAAUCCGAAAUAGUUUUUUGGCCAGCGCAAAUUUACAACUUUGUCGCCGCACCGAAUUCAAUUUGCCAGAGAUAUCGAAAAGUAGCCAA